AGCAGAUCCUUACUUUCGGAGCAGAUGAGAUUAGAGGUAGGGAUGUUAAAUCCAAGGCCAAGGCCUAACCCUCUUUUGUUUAAUAUAAACUCAAUUUUAUUUUAAUCCAGCCAUAUUUUAACCUUAUUUUAAUCAAGGAUUAUGGCUCGUGCAUGGAUUAGCCCAAUUUUAUGGAAAAAGUCUAAUUUGUUCAUUUUUACCUUCGAGUUCUAAGCAUGAAAGUUAAAAAAAAAAAACUAAGAAGUAAUAUGAUCAUCACUCAUUGCUCUCCUCCAACUUGUUGAUCAACAAAAUCAAUUUUUUUUUGCCAAAGCACAAAAUUAAGGUUUUCCUCGCCAAAUCAAAUUUUCUCGCAAAAACCAAAAAUCAAUUUUUUUCGCCAAAACCGUAAAAUUGAGUUUAUCGUCAAAAUUGCAAAAACAGAAAAAUCAAAUUUUCUGUAAAAACCAAAAAUCGAGUUUUCCACAAAAAAAUGAAUUUUCCCGCUAAAAAUGCAAAAUCGAGUUAUUCCCCCAAGAUCGAAAAAUCAAGGUUUUCCGAAAAAAAUCGCAAAAUCAAGUUUUCCCGCAAAAACCAAAAGUCAAGUUUUCCGCAAAUAAAAAACAAAAAUUAAGUUUUUCCGCCAAAAUUGCAAAAUCAAGUUUUUCCGCCAAACCGAAAAUUCAAGUUUUCUAAACAAAAUCGCAAAAUCAAUUUUUUCCACCAAAACUGAGAUAUCGAGGGUUUCGAUAAAACCACAAUAUAGAGUUUUCCACCAAAACCCCAAAAUAGAGUUUUUCCGCCAAAAUGAAAACGAGUUUCUCCACCAAAACCGGAAAAUCAAAAUUUUCCAUCAAAACCGUAAAAUUGAGUUUCUCCUCAAAAUCGCAAAAAUCAAGUUUUCUUGCAAAAACAGAAAAUUAAGUUUUCUGUAAAAACCAAAAAGUCGAGUUUUCCCGUAAAAACUUAAAAUUGAGCUUUCUCGCUAAAACUGCAAAAUUGAGUUUUUUCGCCAAAAUUGUAAAUUCAAGUUUUCUCGUAAAAACCGCAAAAUCUAUUUUUUCCACAAAAAUAAAAAAAAAAUCAAGUUUUUCCGCCAAAACCUCAAAAUCGAGUUUAUCCGGAAAAUCGUAAAAUAGAAUUUCCCCACAAAAAUCACAAAAUUGAAGAUAUGAACAAUUCAAUUAAAUUGGACCCUUAAUAGUAAAGUAAAAAUGUGUAAAAAAAUUGGAUCCUAUGCAUUUGCACCUUUGGCACAUGCAUAAGGCCGGCACUGCAUGCAAUACAUUAUUAUACAAAGACUUCCCAAACCAAAACCGAAUAAAAAAAUUACAAAUGUGUCCGGUAAGAAGUUCUUAGAGCAGCAUUAACGCGGUUCCUUAUGGUGGGUUUUUAAUGUUUUUAGGAUUUUUUUUAAAAAAAGAAAAUUAUGUAAUUAGAGAAGGAACGUCUCUUAAUUAAGCUCCACAAGACACAGUUCUUAUUAGACACGUGUUGGACAUUCAGCGUCUCUUUCUCUCUCUCUCGACGGAUUGAUUCCGUUUUCAGGGUUCACCAAAUCGUCGUCGCUGCUACACUCAUCUCUGUCGAUGGCUCGAUUCGUUAUAACCCAGGCAGAAUCGCCCCAUCGGAUCUGAUGUUUCUUUGAUCCAGCUUCUUCCCACCCGUAACCCUUAAAAACAAACUCUUCGAAUCCUCUGAACUCUUCACAGAUUCUGAAAACCCUUUUUCUUUUAUAAACAAAAGGAGAGAGUUUUGUUGGUGUGAUGGAUGAAUCAAAUGAGAUCAUCUUGCAGAAAUCAAAGAGAUUGACAUCUGUUGUGUGGAACUACUUUGAACGGGUGAGAAAGGUUGAUGCCUGCUACGCUGUUUGCAUUCAGUCAACAAGAAACUCAGCGGUUCCAGCAACAGCGGGACGACUCAUCUCCGGAACCAUCUCAUGCGUUGUCUCAGAAGAACCAACCACGACAGUGGGUAUAUGAGUACAUGAAUCUCUUUGAUUUUGAUAUGCUCCCAAUAAUAAAUUCAAUUGCAAUUUUUUUUUUGUUGGCUGGGUUCUUAGCUUUCAGGCUUUGUAAAUAACUACUUAUUGAUGCAUAAUUACGAGCAUGGACAGUCUCACAUAUACAAGACACUUUCAGAAAUGCAUGUUAGUUGAAUCGUGGUGUUUCUUGUUUGUAACGAAAGUGUAUUCAUAAACUUGUAUAAAUAAAAGUGUAUUCACAAGCA